UUCAGCUACUUUGGAAAAAUGAUUAGUUAAUGAUAUUGGUCUAAGUUGGUUCCAUGUGGCUGGUGAAGAUUUGGGUAUUGGUACAACAACAGCUUUUUUUCCAUUGGUUUGGAACUUUGCCUUCUUUAAAGGAGGAGUUAAGAAUUUCAGUGAGAGGGGUAGAAAGUUCACAGGCAAACUCGCGAAUAAUGCGAGCGGUAAGACCAUCAGGACCUGACGCUUUAGUUUGAUUUAUGUGUUUUAGACAGUUGAAGACCUCAAACUCUUCUAUUUGCGGUAGCGGCCUCUUAGACGGUAGAUAUGCAGAUACUGAAGCAAAGGCUGCUAUUUGGCCGAUUCCACUUUAUGUUAAAAAGAAGAUAAUCAAGUUUUCAUGUACAAGGGUGAUAGUGACAACAGCAAACUGGCUGAUGUGUAUCUGAAAAAAGAUGCAGGGACACCACUGCUGCCAGAAAAGUUCACCUUGUCGAAGGAGCAAAUAUAUGUACGGUGUGUGAUAUGGUCACAGCAUGCCGU